UGCUAAGRAAAGAACUUAACCCUUUAUUUAACCGUUU
rnacentral:tRNA from 1 species